GGGUCCUGUUCUUGUAUCGCGCUCGCUCUGCCUUCCCCUAUGCCCACCGCUUCCCACCCCAGACUUGGCUGUCCGCUCUGCGGCCUUCGGGCCCAGCCCUUUCGGGCUUGCUGAGCCUGGAGGCCGAGGAGAAUGCACUUCCGGGUUUUGCUGAGGCUCUGAGGAGCUACCAGGAGGCUGCGGCUGCAGGCACCUUCCUGGCGGUAGAGUUCACCACUUUGGCGGACUAUUUGCAUCUGUUGCAGGCUGCGGCCCAGGCACUCAAUCCGCUAGGCCCUUCUGCGAUGUUUUACCUGGCUGCGGCUGUGUCAGAUUUCUAUGUUCCUGUCUCUGAAAUGCCUGAACACAAGAUCCAGUCAUCUGGGGGCCCACUGCAGGGAAAAGUUCAGUUAGAAGACAUACUUCACCAUCUUGAAAAAGAAGAAAUCAAUCCCCUUGCUACUACAGAACAACAACUCUGUUUGGUGCUUAUUCCAGCCAGCACAGUGAAGACAGGCUGAGGACCGCUACCACAGAUGUAGAAGAGCUUAUAGUGAAGCACAUGGGUGAAACAAAAGAAGUGAGAACUAAUAGCAUAGAAUUUUAAAGACACCUGUGAUUUUGUUCAUUGCCCUUCAUUAAAUUGACAUAUUAAAAACUAA
rnacentral:sRNA from 1 species